UAUAUGAAAUUCCUUUGAUUUCAUAUGUAUAAAAUAUGAUUUACUAAAAUACCUAUUUCUUGGCACUUAUCAUGUAAUGAAUGAUAUAAUGACAAUAGCAAGUUUAAUAGGGAUGGAAGAGUUCCCAAUAUUUAAUGCUGAGAGUAGCAAUAUUUCUGAGAAUGUAUUUGUUUAAAUGUCAGGACAGUUUUGGGGUAAACUAAAUUCUUCAUAAAUUAACAAUAAAAAUUUGAGUCUCAUCAGAGUUAGAAACUUCAACUAUCAGCUCAGUAUUAACAUUUC
rnacentral:lncRNA from 1 species